GCCCGUAUAGCUCAAUUGGUUAGAGCGUGAGACUCUUAGGUAGAGUGUAAGCUCCGCCAAAUUGAUCUCAAGGUUGCAGGUUCGACCCCUGCUAUAGGCU
rnacentral:tRNA from 1 species